UGCGGGGUGGAGCAGUGGCAGCUCGUCGGGCUCAUAACCCGAAGGUCAGAGGUUCGAAUCCUCUCCCCGCUA
rnacentral:tRNA from 1 species